UGGUACUUGGAGAGUGGUUAUCCCUGUCCUCUUCGCUUCACUUAUGCCGAAUCGUACAGGGUCAUCCACUUUUUCAGUAUCA
ensembl:miRNA Mir487b microRNA 487b